GCCAUGCUUGGGGUGAAUGCUUGCCACGGGAGGAACCUGAAAGAGGCUGCUGCGUGUACCCCUCAGACAAGUUCCUGUGGGAGAAAUACCAGCCAGGAGCUGUCAUGUCACCAGGCAGCUCCCUGCUGGGGAUGAGCUGGAGGUCAGGACGACAAAAAGCACCUCACCCAACCUCUUGCCCUCUGGGUACAUCACACACCGGGCAGCACUGCCGGGCUGCCACAGGGCCCAGAGUACACCAAGAAACAGAAGUACUGAUAUCCUCUGCUGAAAUUUCCUGUCGAAGCUGCCACCCACCUGUGGUUCAAUAAACACCAGCCACCUCUCAAGCAAAGUUUGUCACAACAUAAUCUUCUCUCAUCCCUUGAUCUCCACUAGCUGUGGCUGCUCUUGUUCUGGAAACUACUCUCAUUUCUGUUCUACUGGGCACAAAAUUGGCUUUCCCAGUGGAUGCAGAACCUUAGUAACCCUUGGACCUCACAUCUCUCCCUUCUCACAGAGUCACAGAAUCAUUUAGACUGAAAAACACCUCCAAGAUCAAGUCCAGCCAUCAACCCAGCACUGCCAUGUUCACCACACGUUUUGAUUUGUGUCACGGGGUUUGACUGCCCUGAGGACAACAAAACCAGCACAUGUCCAUCUGGUGGUGAAGUGUGGGAGAGGCUGUGGCAAAAGGCUCAGUGCAGCAGCGUGACUCCCAGCUUCCCUGCGUGGGGGAUCCUGCAAAGUCCACAGCCGGUUUGGCAAACAGCCCACGGGGCCAUCUAUGUCUCCAGGAAUCACAGCCCUGCUCCAAUGCUCCGGCUCGAGAAAUUGGUCUAAUUAGAGACGAGUGAAAUGCUUCUCCUGCUUGGAGAGCCUCAGGUCCCCAGCCCACUUAAAGCUCCACAUAAGACCAUUAGCACGACAACGUGUCUCCCCAGAACGACGCAUCCGCUCGCGCGCUUGGCAGGCGGCCGACCAGAUGUAGCCAGGCUGUCCGGAGGUGCCAAGCAUAACAAUUAACAGCGCCUUCCUGGUGGGGCUGGCAAUGGCAGCUGCAAACUGCAGGCGCCUUCGGCCGCCCACCUUGCUUCCAGGCACGGCAUAGUCCUCUUCUCCACUCCAAGAGACACUGCCGGGGCUCAAGGAGAUCACAGCAAGGGUCUCUUGGUGCCAAACAGCUUCAGGACCUCGGUGACUUACCAAAAUGAAGUCCCAUGGUGAAGAGCACCAGCUAAUAAUGUGCCUCAGCUAAAUCACUGAAUAUUGUACCUUAUUUCUGCCUAAGUGCUGUAUCGCUUGGGGUUUUUUACAUGAUGAAGCGAGCUGCAGUUCUGCAAACACAGAGUCACUUCAAGCAGGUGAACAGCCCUUUGGAGUUUGGGAGGGAGGCUGCCACGUUCCUUGCUUGCUGCAGCAGGCACAAGCUGCUUUAUUAGGUCUUAAUUACAUCCUUGCUAUCCGAAAUUCUUAAAUUUGCCACUAAAGACAGACAGAAACAAAAAUGUCACACUUUUGCAGUUCAGAUAUUUGCAGCUAUGAAUAAUACACUCACGCACUCAUUUACUAAUGGAUACACUUCUCCUCUAAUUUCUUUCCCCCUCCAGACAUUUGCAAAAGCUCUUUUCAUAUUCCCACUACAUCUUUAGCAAGCAGUGAGAGCAGUAAGCCAUUCUGUUUUGUUGCUCUUAUCUCUUCUCUGAAAGCUUUUAUUGACUGCAUGUUGGUUUUGUCUCCUCACCUUUUCCAUUUCCUAUCUAGCCCUUUUUUUUUCCUUUUUUAUUUUUUUGUUACUUUGCUAUUGUUGUUUCUAGCCUUCAGAUCUCCAAGAAGUCCCUUGUGGAGCUAUUUUGGUUAUUCCUCAGUGCAGCAGCUGAGAAAUCCUGGAAGAGGUAACAACAGGAACAAUAAGAAAAAGCAGAGUUGGUUCCAGAAUUCAUUUGGAUUAAGGGGUGGGGAGUUCAGUAAAUUAUUGAACUACCUGAAAGAAGAAUUCAUAUCAAAACCUAUUUUGCCUUAGUGCCUGACUCUCAUUUGCAUUUAAGAGCUGUCAGUAUUUUAGGGGUGAGCUCUGAAGCUGCUUCUCUAUAUGUUUCUUGCUUCAAAGAGAGGGAUGAGCCACUUCUCUCCCUACAUAGCAAGUGUCUGCAGGGCUGGGGCCAUCCUCCACGCUGAACCAAUGAGCAGUGCCUGGCAAGCCCAUUUAGAGAUGAGCUUCUGUUUCUGCCCUCACCCUGCAGCAGCACCCACAGCAAACCUUUAGCCAAGGCUACACUGGGUGACCCAGCCAGUUUGCUCCACUUUGCCUAAAACUAGGCACAGAGGAAUCCCUUUCCUGGCACAGGUGGCCCUAGCACAGCAGGUCUGGAGAUUUGCUGGAGACAAAGGCCUUGGGGCUCUCCCCUCCCCUUGUACCCAUGUGCACAGGGUAACCCUCUCCCUAGCUGUAUGAGCAGGACCCUGACCAUCCAGAGGUCAUGGAUGCACCGGGCCUUUGGCCAUUUUGCUGAGCGGGUUUGCAGCCAAGACAGGCGUCGAGGGGCUCUGGCAGCAACAAAGGCAGGAGGAGCCCCGAGCACACAGGCAAACAAGAGCAGCUACCUGUUGUGCUUCAAUGCCAGCUGCCGUGGGAGCCGCUGGAGUGAGGGACUUUCCAAAUCUCUGAGGCAUGAAACCACUAAUAGCUCAGUUUUGAUUCCACUACUUUGAAAGGAGUCCUGAAUUUUCCAAAGCAACCAACUCUCAUCAGAGGUUGGAGGUUGCCGCCUCUGCCCAUUUUCACUUUGGUUGAGAACUCUCUGAAUUGUGUGUCCAGAAAUGCCCAACUACCUCAAGGAACCUCAGUUUUAGGUGACUGGGCUUGUGGCUGCUUUUGGAAACAAGCCGCAGUGGCUUCCCAAGAUAUUUUGGUGGCUGAUGGCGACCUCAGUGCUGUAGUAACCACACGGGUUUUGUGCAGAAGCAUUUCUGUAAUUUCUGGAGUGUGUGGUAUGAGGUUGUCUACCCUUCCAGAACCUCUCACUCUCUGAGUCUUGACUUCCCUUGUUACCAGUCCUUUGGACAUCAAAGCAGCUGGUUCACUGAGGAUCUUGCUCUGCAGAAAGGACCUGGUGUUGUUCUCCACUAUCAAUAGUUUUUUGUAAGGAAGAGAAAAACUCUUUUCCCAGCUCAGGCAAAACUAGCAGAAGAAAUGCAGAGUUUCUAGGUCAUGCUGUUUCUGAGAGAUGAGACAAAAAGAGAAAACAGCUUAGAAGACUCUUGAAACACCUAGCAGCCCGAGGGCCAGUGGCCAAGCAUUGCACAUCCCAGAAGACUGAAUCCUCUCUCACCUGCCUUGGAAACACCUUGUCCCUUCUCACAGGGCUCCUGCUGUUUGCACCCAGCCAGCCAGGGAAGUGGAAGAUUCACCUCCAAGCAAGAAGCUGUAGUGUUGCCUCCGUCCUAUCUGCCCUGGCUCUCUGGAGCAUUCCUAGCCUCUUUCUUUCCAUGCUCCACUGGAGUCUAAUCCUGCAUGCAGAAAAUUCCUCAUGCAUUUUGCUCUUAUUCCUUCAGGGCAUCUGUUUUCUCUUUCAUUCUGUCUGGCUGUUCAGCAGCCUGAACUCAGUUACUGUAAUCCCUCCAUCUUCAGUGAUGUUCUCAGCUCCACAUAAUAAAUAUUAACAGCUUA